rnacentral:rRNA from 1 species
AUGCAAUUCUACUCCACAUCACACUUCUAUCCAGAUGGCAGGAUAGUAUGGAUGUCUGAAGGUACAAGGUACCACUCAACUAUUGAGGAAUGGGCAAAUCUGAUCAAUGCUCCUAAGGAAGAAGAAAAUGACUUGGAUAUCUAUGCCAAGAAGAAGAUGGAUCACAACUCUAUGACAAACAUGUACAAGGAGAUUCCUGAAGAUGAUCUUGAGACUCACCAGUUUGGGUCAGUAAAACACUUGCUGUCAGGGCUGCCUACAAUCAAUUGGAUCCUUAGGCACACUCUCUUGCCCAAGUCUGGUGAUCAGAGAAUGAUUAGAGGCCAUGCAAUUAACUUGCUACAUAUAUUUGAUGUGCCACAGAAGUUCAAGGUCAUGAGCCUUAUAGUUGAGACUAUCAACAGGACUGUAGCUGACCAGAAAAGAAGUUGUGGAUAUGCCCCACAAAUCCAGGAGUUGAUAAACUCAAAGAUGGGCAUAGGCACAUACUUGUUGGAUAAGGAACACUUGCCUAUCUAUCCUGACUUUGAGGACAAUCAAGUUGUGAUGAAUGAGAAUGAACCAUCAUCAGUACAAGCUCAAGAGAAGAAGGAGAAAGCAAAGAAAGAGAAGGCUGCCAAGAUGCCAACUCAAGAGGAGGCAUCUGAGUACUUUUUGAAAAGCAAGCAAGAUCAGCUUGGCUACCUGAUUGCAUCCACUCUAAGGAUUGAGAAGGGACUGGCCACCCUGACUCAAAACCAGGAGAGCUUGGAAAGAAUCGUGGAGCAAAAAUUCUAUGAUUUAGAUGUCAAAGUAACUGAGAUCCAGUCAGCUGUGGAGCAGCUACAAGAUGAUAUGCAGGAGAGGAAGGGCAGAACAACCACUGAUGCACUUGCCAGAGUGCCUCGAGCUCAGAGAUCAACUGCAGUGCCUGUUCCAGACACUAGAGCCACUUCAUCUGCACCAGCUAUAGCUCCAGCGCAACCAGCUCCAACACCAACUCCCUCAGCUCCAUCCACAUCAACUGAAGCCUUCUUCCUUGGAGUUCUCCGGACACCACCACCUGAAGACCAAGCCUGA